rnacentral:rRNA from 1 species
UACGUAGGGUGCGAGCGUUGUUCGGAAUUACUGGGCGUAAAGCGCACGUAGGCGGCUUUGUAAGUUAGAGGUGAAAGCCCGGGGCUCAACUCCGGAACUGCCUUUAAGACUGCAUCUCUUGAAUCCAGGAGAGGUGAGUGGAAUUCCGAGUGUAGAGGUGAAAUUCGUAGAUAUUCGGAAGAACACCAGUGGCGAAGGCGGCUCACUGGACUGGUAUUGACGCUGAGGUGCGAAAGCGUGGGGAGCAAACAGG